rnacentral:lncRNA from 1 species
GAACAGUUGCGGAUCUAGGGGGAUGGGGGUAAUUCCACUCGUAACAUGUUCCAGAAUAAUUAAAGAAAAAAUUGUUGAAACAUAAAAAAUACAUUAGUUGACAUGAAACUUGUCCCGCAUAUCAGAUAUAAAACAGGUAGAGAACAUGGACUUGAUUUCAAUACAAAAAAAAA